rnacentral:rRNA from 1 species
GAUGAACGCUGGCGGCGUGCCUAAUACAUGCAAGUCGAGCGAACAGACGAGGAGCUUGCUCCUCUGACGUUAGCGGCGGACGGGUGAGUAACACGUGGAUAACCUACCUAUAAGACUGGGAUAACUUCGGGAAACCGGAGCUAAUACCGGAUAAUAUAUUGAACCGCAUGGUUCAAUAGUGAAAGACGGUUUUGCUGUCACUUAUAGAUGGAUCCGCGCCGCAUUAGCUAGUUGGUAAGGUAACGGCUUACCAAGGCAACGAUGCGUAGUCGACCUGAGAGGGUGAUCGGCCACACUGGAACUGAGACACGGUCCAGACUCCUACGGGAGGCAGCAGUAGGGAAUCUUCCGCAAUGGGCGAAAGCUUGACGGAGCAACGCCGCGUGAGUGAUGAAGGUCUUCGGAUCGUAAAACUCUGUUAUUAGGGAAGAACAAAUGUGUAAGUAACUAUGCACGUCUUGACGGUACCUAAUCAGAAAGCCACGGCUAACUACGUG